UGGAGAUGCUACAUUACAAGGGUCACAAGAAAGCGAAUUAGAAGAAUGGUGGAAUAGACAGUUGCAGACAUGGUUUCCAAACAUCAGUGCCACCCCUGUACAAUCGGGAGGUGGUCCACAAGCAAGAACAACACAGGGGCAGGACACAACACAAGGCUCACAAGAAAUGGAUAUGCAAGAUAGUGACAGCGAACAGUUCUCUGCUGAUUUUCCAAGGCCACAAAGCGAUCGACAGAGUAUUGCACCACAGCAGCACCCGUCAAGCCCUGCACAGGAUUUACAAGGGAUGGAAAAUGAACCCCAACCAUCAACAUCUCGUGGAAUACAAGAGCCUGUUUG